rnacentral:lncRNA from 1 species
AGGCUUUGAUAUGUUGUCAAAUUCUAUAUCUUGAUCGGAAUCGCUUAAUACUUUAUUCUAAGACUGAUUUCUUUGUCUGAGUUGUCCAUUCAGUUCCUGAACGGCUAUAUUCCUAAUGAGGUCAAUAGUUGAGUUUUGUUUCAGUGUUUCCUUAACCAUGUUCUGUAUUUCUUGUCUAAACGUCACGUGGGUCAUAACAAUAUGCACAAGUUCCUCAUUUAAUUCCAG